AUUGAACGCUGGCGGCAGGCUUAACACAUGCAAGUCGAGCGAGCGGCGGACGGGUGAGUAAUGUCUGGGAAACGGCCUGAUGGAGGGGGAUAACUACUGGAAACGGUAGCGAAUACCGCAUACCAUCAGAUGGGCCCAGAUGGGAUUAGCUAGUAGGUGGGGUAAUGGCUCACCUCGGCGACGAUCCCUAGCUGGUCUGAGAGGAUGACCAGCCACACUUGAACUGAGGGCCGGUCCAGACUCCUACGGGAGGCAGCGGUGCUGAAUAUUGGACAAUGGGCGCAAGCCUGAUGGAGCCAUGCCGCGUGUGUGAAGAAGGCCUUCGGGUUGUAAAGCACUUUCAGCGAGGAGGCGUUACUCGCAGAAGAAGCACCGGCUAACUCCGUGCCAGCAGCCGCGGUAAUUC
rnacentral:rRNA from 1 species